ACAGAAAGGCGAGAAAAGAAAACGUGUGGUAAAAAUGGGCAUUUGAGUCUUCGCCCGAUUGUCACUAUUUUUUCUUUUUCUUUUUCAUCUUCUUUUUCACCUUCUUUUCCUUUCUC
rnacentral:ribozyme from 13 species